GGGGAUAUAGCUCAGUUGGUGGAGUGCCUGCUUAGCAUGCACAAGGCUCUGGAUUCAAUCCCCAGCACCACCA
rfam:Ictidomys tridecemlineatus contig094835, whole genome shotgun sequence.